rnacentral:misc_RNA from 1 species
AAACCAAGCCUUGCAACAUUGGAGAACAGUUGCCUGCCUCCAGGCACAGGGGAGCUUGAUGAUGUUACAGUAACACUCGUACUUCCCAAAGCUUCGAAGUCAUUGCUAGUGAAAGUAGGUUGUUCUGUGAAAGAAGGUUCUGAAAAGCUAAAAGGCAAAGGCUCUAAGUACAUGCCAAUGGCUUCAGCUUUAACUUGUUCACGCCGUUCCUUCCUAGCUAGCCACGUCCUUUGUUUUUCCCUACUUCUGAUUUCCUCCAUAAAGGGAGAAAGUGCAUCCAUGGGCAUUAUCUUGCUGAGAUCAAUUUCACAAAGCUGAAAUGUUGUUGUCAAAGAAAAAUGACUUAGGAAGCGGUAACGCCUUCUCAUGGCCUCCGAUUGCGUCACGGACUCCAUUUGUAAAAUCUUUCCACUGAUUCUGUUAGGAAGACCACCGUAGCCACCGUAGUAAUGCAGAAGGCACUUCAUGUUCAGUGGAUGGAGGAUAAGGUGCUGACCAUCAACUGCCUGGUAGAAACUGUAGGAACUGAUCUCUUCUCUGUCAGUAAUGCCACUUGUGUCUUUCUGUAGGCUCUUGUCAUUGCCAUAUAAGGACAAUGAAGAUCCAACACGCUCUUCUAUUGAUUCAACAUCUGAAGCUUGAAUAAGAUGAGAGUCCCUCACUACCUUAUUGAGAGUUGACUUCUCCUGCAAUAUUGGUUUAUCAGCUGGAUUACUGUAUGGCAUUACAUGAGUAGAUUGUCCAGCAGAAUGGACCUGAACACUUUCUAGUCGCUGAGAACUAUAAGAGCACUUCUCCAAACGAUUAUCUUCGUCAGAUUUGCUAUUUUGAACAGCAAUAUGUUGCCUAUUCCAGUACGUCUUCCUCUGCUCCAAUAGUUCCCUUGCAGCACAGACAAAGGGAAGUUUCUCCAAGUCAUCAACUAAGCCUGAAUCAGCUCUAGCUAACCAA